AAAAAAUAACGAUACGGGACUCAUCCGAGGCCCCGUAAUCGGAAUGAGAACACUCUAAAUCCUUUAACGAUGAUCUAUUGGAGGGCAAGCCUGGUGCCAGCAGCCGCGGUAAUUCCAGCUCCAAUAGCGUAUAUUAAAGUUGUUGCGGUUAAAAAGCUCGUAGUUGGUUCUGCGUGCCACGCUGUCGGUUCACCGCCUGCCGGUGCAACUGGCAUGCCGUGGCAUGUCCUGUCGGUGGCGGAUAGGCCUCCCGGCGUGCCCUAUGCGGUAUACCAGCGUGUAGGCUGCUGCGCCGGGGGUGUCCUUGUACGCCGACUCAAUCCUACCGCGGUGCUCUUUACCGAGUGUCGAGGUAGGCCGACACUGUUUACUUUGAACAAAUUAGAGUGCUUCAAGCAGGCUCUUAAAUCAGCCUGAAUAGUGGUGCAUGGAAUAAUGGAACAGGACCUUGGUUCUAUUUUGUUGGUUUCCGGAAUCCAAGGUAAUGAUCAAUAAGGACAGGCGGGGGCAUUCGUAUUGCGACGUUAGAGGUGAAAUUCUUGGAUCGUCGCAAGACGCACUAAAGCGAAAGCAUUUGCCAAGUAUGUCUUAAUUGAUCAAGAACGAAAGUUAGAGGUUCGAAGGCGAUCAGAUACCG
rnacentral:rRNA from 1 species